GACGAACGCUGGCGGCGUGCCUAAUACAUGCAAGUAGAACGCACAGUUUAUACCGUAGCUUGCUACACCAUAAACUGUGAGUUGCGAACGGGUGAGUAACGCGUAGGUAACCUGCCUGGUAGCGGGGGAUAACUAUUGGAAACGAUAGCUAAUACCGCAUAAUAUUGAUUAUUGCAUGGUAAUUGAUUGAAAGAUGCUAUUGCAUCACUACCAGAUGGACCUGCGUUGUAUUAGCUAGUAGGUGAGGUAACGGCUCACCUAGGCGACGAUACAUAGCCGACCUGAGAGGGUGAUCGGCCACACUGGGACUGAGACACGGCCCAGACUCCUACGGGAGGCAGCAGUAGGGAAUCUUCGGCAAUGGACGAAAGUCUGACCGAGCAACGCCGCGUGAGUGAAGAAGGUUUUCGGAUCGUAAAGCUCUGUUGUAAGAGAAGAUCGGGUGUGAGAGUGGAAAGUUCACACUGUGACGGUAUCUUACCAGAAAGGGACGGCUAACUACGUG
rnacentral:rRNA from 1 species